rnacentral:lncRNA from 13 species
GCCUGGAUAGGAAAGCCACGAGGAAUGGACUCCCACUGGAAAAUGCAGCCAUGGCUAAGUGUUCAUCUUUGGCUUGGCUUCCCAGACCUCCCCAAACCUUGAUGUUCCUCAGAAAAGUCUUCAGCAUGCCACAGAACACACGGAAUCAAUGUGUGUGUGAUGCACCGCGAUAUUUCACCACACGGGGGAAGAGAGGGACCUGUGUGCUGCAGUGCAACCCCUCUCCUGGCUACCAGCCACAUGACUUCUGACCCAUUGAGGCUCUCUCUGGACAAACUCUCCGUCUGCCAAGCUCAGCGCCCCUGGGUUCUUCCAGAAGUUCUCAGUGAAAAAUCCUGGUCAAAUCUGUGGCACAAGCCAAACAAAGAUGAGUCUGCUGUGAAAAACUAA